rnacentral:rRNA from 1 species
UUUCCCUCAGGAUAGCUGGUGCACGUAGCGUUUCGAACCUUAUUCUUAUCUGGUAAAGCGAAUGAUUAGAGGCCUUAGGUUCGAAAUGAUCUUAACCUAUUCUCAAACUAUAAAUGGGUACGGUACUGGGUGGCAUUCUUUACUGAUCGCCACCCUUUCUACAACCGACGAUCGGACGGGGUGCCCCUUAAGUGGUGGCGAUCCCGGCUAGAUAUCGGUGUGCCUAGUGGGCCAAGUUUUGGUAAGCAGAACUGGUGCUGUGGGAUGAACCA